rnacentral:rRNA from 1 species
UACGUAGGGGGCAAGCGUUGUCCGGAUUUAUUGGGCGUAAAGAGCGUGUAGGCGGUUUGGUAGGUCCGCUGUGAAAACUCGAGGCUCAACCUCGAGACGCCGGUGGAAACCAUCAGGCUAGAGUCCGGAAGAGGAGAGUGGAAUUCCCGGUGUAGCGGUGAAAUGCGCAGAUAUCAGGAAGAACACCCGUGGCGAAGGCGGCUCUCUGGGGACGGUACUGACGCUGAGACGCGAAAGCGUGGGGAGCGAACAGG